CUAAACUGGGAGAGGUUGACCAAUACUGUCAUUCUAGAGUGGAGAAGAGGUAAACGGAAUUCCGCGUGUAGUGGUGAAAUGCGUAGAGAUGCGGAAGAACACCAGUGGCGAAGGCGGUUUACUGGUCUCCAACUGACACUCAGACGCGAAAGCAUGGGUAGCGAACGGGAUUAGAAACCCCGGUAGUCCAUGCCGUAAACGAUGCACACUAAACGUUCGUAGUCCGCGAGGGCUGUGAGUGUUGAAGCAAACGCGAUAAGUGUGCCGCCUGGGGAGUACGGUCGCAAGGCUAAAACUCAAAGGAAUUGACGGGGGCCCGCACAAGCAGCGGAGCGUGUGGUUUAAUUCGAGGGUACGCGAAGAACCUUACCUGGGUUUGACAUAUAGGUGGUACUCGAGGGAAACUGAGAGGACUCUUCGGAGAGCC
rnacentral:rRNA from 1 species